rnacentral:lncRNA from 1 species
AUCCAAUUCAAUUGGACUUGAUCCAAAAAUAAUUACUCAAUCAAAUUGAGUUAAUUAGUGAUCAAAUCACUAAUUAAAUCUCUCAUAAAUAUUGAGUCUAAAUUCGAUGGGUAAUCGGGCAUCAGAAUUCAUCGAUAUGUAAGCCUGAUCGAAGAGUCCCAGACCAGUGGGACUCUUGACCCCGGUAUCCAAAAUGUGUGGGACUCAUGAUCAGAGAAUCCUGAUUCUCGAUCACAGAGUUCCAGACACGUAGGACUCAUAGUCCAUGAGCAUUAGGACUCUUCAUCAGCCAUCAGAUCAGAUAGGAACCUCUAAUGUGUGUGACCCCGCAGGUUCGAACCUAAGUCGGUAGCACAGGAACCAAUUCCUGUACUAAUCGAAGUGACCAUCUAGCAAUGGUACCCGAUGAUCGGAUAGGUAGAAUA